CGUGGCUAGUGACUGUCUUUACAGUCUUCUAGGUUUCAUAAUAUAACUGUUGUAAUAGGCUGACCUUCAGGUUAGUGACCUGCCCCUGGCUCGCUGCUCAUUAUGGGUACGUCAUUCUGACUAAAUCAACAGGUUCAGCGCAUGUUCAGCAAAACUGUACCAAUACAAUUACGCUAGAGUGUUCUAGAAUAAUUUGGUGCAUCGAUUAGUAAUUCUCAGCAACAAGAAACACACAAAGGGUAUAGCAUAGUACGAACAGGCACUCAAAUUAUGAGCGCAAUGCGUCAAGACAUGAGCAUCUACUUUUGAUACGGGUACACCUCUCUGAUAAGAAUACGAGACGCCUAGGCAUUUUCCUACGUGAAGCUCUACGGUUACUUCUCCACGGGUCAUGUUGUUACAAUAUCCCUCCGCUUGUCUGGUCCUGUAGGGACUGUCGUC